UGGGUUGCCAUUUAGAGUAUUUGUUGGGUGUGUGCAACUCAGCAUACUGCUAAGGCAAGUCCAGCCUCCAUAUCACACCAACAAGCAGAUUUCCGCACCAUGACGCAUACUAUCUUGUGCUCUAACCACAGAUUUUCAGUCUACUCUUGCUAACCAUCAACUCUUCAAGGGCAAGAACCAUGUCUCUCAUAUCCCGGGAUCUGGUUUGCUAAAUAAUUAUUCAUGAGUUUAUCCGAGUAGAAAAAGAGCCAACACCUGAGAAAAAGAGAUAUUCUUGGUUCUUCCGUCACUGAGGAGCUUCUGGGAUUCCAGCCUUCCUGCUAGCUGCAGCCACAGCUUCAACAGCUCCACCUCCUUGUUCUUUAUUCUUGCUUUUACAUUGUUACUCAGCAGCAGGAGUGUAAAUGUGGUGACAGUGCCAUGUCCACCUAAACCAAGCCGGAGAAUUUUAAUAAACCACCUUCUAUAAUGACACCCAUAGAAACCAGAAGGGGACAAGUCUAGGAGGUCUCUGAAGUUACUGUACCCACCCCUCCUUCAUCCUCCUCCAGGAUUUGCUUCUGGAAGGAGUCAACACCAACAGCUCUGACCUAGGCAGCCUUCCUGAGAAAAUGCAGCCAUUCCUGCUCCUGUCGGCCUUUCUUCUGCCCCCUGGGACUGGGACAGCUCCAUAAAUGUCACCUUGGGGGCCCAUAAUAUCAAGGAACAGGAGAGGACCCAGCAGUUCAUCCCUGUGAGAAGAGCUUUCCCCCACCCAGCCUAUAACCCUGAGAUCUUCUCCAGUGACAUCAUGCUACUGCAGCUGGAGAGAAAAGCCAAGCAGACCUCAGCUGUGCAGACCCUCCGGCAACCCAGCAGCAAGGCCCAGGUGAAACCAGGGCAGGUGUGCAGCGUGGCUGGCUGGGGCCGUGUCUCAAUGGGCACUUUAGCAACCACACUGCAGGAAGUGUUGCUGACAGUGCAGAAGGACCAGGAAUGUGAAUAUGUCUUCCAUGCCUAUUACAGCAGAGCCACCAAGAUUUGUGUGGGGGAUCCGAAGAAGACAAAGACCGGUUUCAAGGUUGGGUUUCCAGCCUCUACCCAGAAGGACUGCAGGGAGAGAGGAAUUUGAGGGACUUCUGGGGAAUGGCAGUGGACAGAUCCUCAUGCUCCCAGCCCAGUGCUUGGGUAGCCUGUUUCCCUGUUUCCCCCAGGAAUCUAGUCUUUCAUCCACUCCUAAAGACUAGGUGGAUUGGGGUGUUUGGAGGAGAAGGAUCUGUCAUCCCACAGUCACUUAUCACCAGAGUGACUGAGAAUCGCAGAGAAAGGCUUGGUCUGGGGAGAGCCAGAAAGCACAGCCAGGGCCAUGCUGGAGACCCAGGACUGAGGGAGGCUGGCAGUGAUGUCACACACAACCUCUAACAGAGACCACCCAUCCCAGGAAAGGCCAGCUCAGUCUUUCCUCUCUCUGUUCACAGGGGGACUCCGGGGGGCCCCUCGUGUGUAAGAACGUGGUCCAAGGUGUUUUCUCUUAUGGGAAAAACAAUGGGAUGCCUCCAGGAGUCUACAUCGAGGUCUCACACUUCCUGCCCUGGAUAAAGAGAACAAUGAAGUGCCUGUAACAGCAGGCAUGAGACUAACCUUCCUCUGGGCCUAACCAUCUUCUCUGGUACAGAGGCAAGACUCCCAUGGGGGUGGACAUCCCGGAUUGCAGGGCUAUAAUAAAUGGAUCUCUAGCGUAAAUAUGACUGAAGUUCUUAUUUAUUCAUUGAACCAUCUUCAGAAUGUAACGAUGCUGUUCCAGGCAUCCGUCUGCUGUCACUUCAGGCUUUUGCUUCCUCCUUUCUCCC